ensembl:ribozyme RNaseP_nuc Nuclear RNase P
GGCCUGGGAAGCUCAUCAGUGGGGCCCUGUGCUGAGUGCUCGUCUCUUCUCGGCCCCUGGGAAGGUCUGAGACUGGGGCCUCCUUUGGCCCUAACUGGGCCCUCCCGGAGUGGAGAAGAGAGCAGGGCUCCAUGCGUGGGCAGACUGGGCAGGAAAGGCCCCAAGUGGGCCGAUGCCUCCCUCCCCUACCAGUGAAGAGCGAGUUCAAUGGCAGAGGUGAGGUACUGCGUUGGCUGAGUUAAAUUUGGUUCCCCAGGUC